rnacentral:rRNA from 1 species
AGAGUUUGAUCAUGGCUCAGAUUGAACGCUGGCGGCAGGCCUAACACAUGCAAGUCGAACGGUAACAGGAAACAGCUUGCUGUUUCGCUGACGAGUGGCGGACGGGUGAGUAAUGUCUGGGAAACUGCCUGAUGGAGGGGGAUAACUACUGGAAACGGUAGCUAAUACCGCAUAACGUCGCAAGACCAAAGAGGGGGACCUUCGGGCCUCUUGCCAUCGGAUGUGCCCAGAUGGGAUUAGCUAGUAGGUGGGGUAACGGCUCACCUAGGCGACGAUCCCUAGCUGGUCUGAGAGGAUGACCAGCCACACUGGAACUGAGACACGGCCCAAACUCCUACGGGAGGCAGCAGUGGGGAAUAUUGCACAAUGGGGGAAACCCUGAUGCAGCGACGCCGCGUGAGUGAAGAAGUAUUUCGGUAUGUAAAGCUCUAUCAGCAGGGAAGAAAAUGACGGUACCUGACUAAGAAGCACCGG